rnacentral:rRNA from 1 species
UACGUAGGGGGCUAGCGUUGUCCGGAUUUAUUGGGCGUAAAGAGCGUGUAGGCGGCCAGGUAGGUCCGGUGUGAAAACUCGAGGCUUAACCUCGAGAUGUCAUCGGAAACCAUCUGGCUAGAGUCCGGAAGAGGAAAGUGGAAUUCCACGUGUAGCGGUGAAAUGCGUAGAGAUGUGGAGGAACACCAGUGGCGAAGGCGACUUUCUGGGCUGUAACUGACGCUGAGGCGCGAAAGCGUGGGGAGCAAACAGG